UUUUUAUUUCUGUGAAAUUUGGGGUUUUUUUGUUUUUUGAACGUGGAUUUACGGAUGCGACGAAGAGGUAGAUGAUGUGGAGUAUGGCUGCGCAUCAGGCUACAUAUUGCUUCAGAUCAGCUUCCCCUCUCGCUUCAAUUUCAGUCCACUCACAGUUUAUUUUUCGUAUUCAGUUUUAUUGAUUAUCUGAUGUAUUGUACUUUUCAGAAGUCUAUUAGAUGGAUGGUCUAGCUGCAAAAUAAACGUUAGGGAAAUCUGCUCCUUUGAUCCUUCUUUUAGUUAUUUACAAUAGCAGAUUAAUUAAUUCUUCUGCUCAAUCGGCCCUUAUGUUUGUCAUUCAGAGUUGUAUAUGUCAGAUGUUAGGAAAAUCAUUUGGCAUCUUUCUCAGCUAUAUUUGUGUGAUUAUUUUGAAGGCACAGUAUUAAACACAUAGAGAAAAGGAAACCUAACUCAAUUUCUUUUGUCUAUUUGCAGUUUUGUCAGUAGCUAUUUGUUGGCUAGGCCUGGAGGUUGAUAGGCCAACAAAUCAUUGAAACCCAGUGCUUCACCCUGCUGCUACACUGCAGACAUGCUGUUAUCUAUAAUGUUUUGAUUUUUUUUCAGCAUUUUUUUCGUCUCAACACAGGUUAAGGCCGGAUCCAACAACCUAUAAAACAAUGUGUAAAAGACUACACCUUCGGCAUCAUAGUGCCAUCUAAUCUCAUUUUCUCUCUAUAUGGUCUACUAUAUAUGUGCUGAGCACCAUCUAAUACGUGUGGUUGGCGUGAGUUUGAUUAAAUCUGCACAUGAAGAUGCUUUGUAGUCUGCCAUCAUGUGCUCUAAUGUUCUUUCUACUAGAACAUGGGUCAGAUAACCGAAGGCAAGAAGAGAAAGGGUACCAGCGACAAGAGACGCCCGGCCAAGGCCCUCUUCAAGGGGAAGCAGAAAUCUUAGUCUUGCCAGACUGCAGUUGCAGAACCGGGCCAGGACAAGCGCGCCAGCAAGGAAAUCAACCAUGAGGCUGCAGAUGAGGCUUCUCCUCGGUUUGCCAGCUGAGGAGGUCCGGCUUCAUCUCCUCCGUUGGAAACAGUCCUAUAAGCUUCCUCUUUGUCAUGUCCCCCUCCCCAUGUACACAAAUAAGAGGAAAGGAAGCAGUGAAACGGGUCCCGACAGGGAGAAGCGACGGCAGAAAUAAAAUGAUGUGCGGUUGCAUUGUCUUGUGGUGUUGAUCAUCUGAUGGACAGAGAGGAGUUUGCUUCCAGGAUCUGUCAAGGACAGAGCGAUCAUGUCGCUGCAGAUGUUGUGACAACGCGUUGUGCUCGAUGUGUUCAUCUAUGUCGAUGCUAUCCUGGGCAGGGCACUUCCCGUCUAAAUAUUGUUACAGGUCAGGUCCAUGUUUAGGUUUUUAACUGAAGCCUGCAGAUGAUGGUCACAGAUCAUUUCCAGGCACGAUGAACUCAGUUUAGAUAGGAGACCCAUACAACUACCUCUGUUUAUUGUACUUCUCUAUCUGAUGAGUUGAGGUUUACCUGCUUUAGUUCUGAUCUUUGUACUGUCUGUUGUUGUAUGUACCUGCACUAAAUGAGUAUACCAUAGGUUGCACUUUAUUGACCUACUGUCUCCGUGGUGUUUGUUCUUAAGCGUGUUCCAGUUAUCAAUCAGACUACCAAUGAGUAAUUUCACUGAAAUGAACCAACUGAAAGCAUGCUUUAGAGUGUCGCAGCUAUUUUCUUCUGGCCUUUGCUCUUGGAUCUCUUUCAUGUGAUAGUUUUGGUUUUGAUUCAGGCAGUAACUCAGGACAGAAACAAAGCACCCAUGGUGCCUCAGAGAAAGAUAACAUACCAGUUAUUGUCGGCUGAAUCCGCGCUUACUUCACGGGAGGUUGCCUAAAUCCUCUAUCAUUCCUCCUUAGACUCUUGAAGGUGAUGGCACCCUAUCCGCUCAAUCGCCAGUGAGCUUACUCAGUUUGGGUCACUGGUGCCUGCUGCCGGAGCCGGAUGGCGCAAGUCUAGCUCCUCAUCCUCCAGCUCUACUGCCGGUCUGGCCCUGCAAACAAGCGGGCGGCUUGCUAUUGCUCGCAAUGGCAUCCCCAGCGUGGCAUGGAACAAACGUAGGAUCCAGCGAAGACCAGCCACACCGGCUCGACAGCACGAUGCACUGGUGGAAACUACCUCCUUCGCCCUCGGGCUCUACGAAUCAACGACGCGGCUGAGCUUCAGUAUUGCGAGCCUCGCCCGCACGUGCAUGCACACUUUCAGUCAUCAAAGCAUGCCGGCCAUGGACGCCGGCGUCCUGACUGCUAAUUCAACACCUCAGCGGGGCGCAUAGUGCAGCCUCUGAGCGCGUGCCCGGCCGCCGCGACGUGAGCCACAUCUCCUUGGCCGCCGGCACGCCGCUGUGUCGAAUCUGAGAGAGAGAGGGAGAGGGGGGAGGAGAAAAGGAUAAGGAUGGAAUCACAACUAGAGCGGCAGACAGAGACAGUGUUAGCCGUGGAGGCACACACUCGAGCACUCGCUGCAUGCGCGUUCCUGUGUCACAUGCUCACGGCGUGUGCGUAACAAGUGUCGAAUUAAGUACUAGUAGUGUUGUACCUGCAGCUGCAGUCUAUGGAGUAGAGAAUUACCGUACGGUUGUGUUAGAGUACAUGCACAAUUUAUUUCUUGCCAACACGAAGCAAUAAUACAAUAA